AAAAAUGUAGCUCCAAGUGACAUAAUGAUGGAUUGAGACGAAAGAGGGGAUGUGUCACGCCCAAGAUGCGACCCUAUCCUCAAUUUGGCACGAGGGCCUCGUCAGGGAUAGAAGCGCAUCUCGUCAUGUCGCAAGAAUGGAUAUCGUUACAAGUACAUGUACUGAAAAGGGGAGAUAUAUAAAGAGUUGGCUUACACUCGCCACAAGCUACAUCAGAGUCACAUCAGUACAUUACAUAAUCAUCAAGGGUAAGAGCAGGGUCCGACUACGGACGAAAACAAACGACAAAAGAAGAACGACGUCCAUCCUUGCUAUCCCAGGCCGCCGGCCUGGAACCCAUCCCAGAUCGAUGAAGAAGAAGAAGAAGAAGAAGCAACUCCGAAUGAACAAUCAACGCGCUCGCGUCAAGUAAUCUUUACCUGUACCUGCAACUGGUGUUGUAGUAAUCUGUGAGCCACACGGGACUCAGCAAUCUCAUUUCCAAAGGUAUCAAGACUAGCAAGGCUUAAUGGGUGAGGUAUGGUUAAGUGGUGAGGUUGCAGCAGCGGCUAAGCUUAUAUUUGGUGGCUAACUUACAAGUACCAGAAAUAAGAGGGGGAAGAACUACGCAUAGCGGACGUGAACUACAUAUGACCAAAAGAAUGAUCCUGAACACCUACCUACGUCAGACAUAACCCCACCGUGUCCUCGAUCGGAGAAGGAACUCACGAAAGAGACAGUCACGGUUACGCACACAGUUGGCAUUUUUUAAUUAAGUUACUUCAAGUUAUCUAUGACCAGUGUUAAACAAAGUUUCCACGUUGCCACAUAACCGCGGGCACGGCUUUCCGAAAGAUUUAACCCUGCAGGGGUGCUCCAACUAGUCCAUCACAAAUUACCACAAGCCGCAUAGAAAUCCUCAAUCACGAAGCUUGCGAUCUCGUCGGAUUCCCUAAUGGAAAACCUCAACUCUGAGAUUACCCAAAGCAUCACCGGAAUCCCGAUGCACAAGAUAUCUCGUCAAAGGUAAAACUAAUCCAGCAAGGCCGCCCGACGUGUCGACGAUCCCGAUAGGAGUCGCGUACCUCGUUCUCAGGACACGACGGAUGAGCUAGACGUCGGGAUCGCUAAACCUCCGGGUGACCAGAGGGGCGCCGGACAUCGCUCAGGUGGGGCCAACACUCAUGAGGAGCACUGGCCCGGGGGUUGAUUAAGUUAUCCUCGGGGUCCGGAAAGUCCCUAUGCAAUUUUAUUAGGUGUUUAGGCAAAUGUAGUACCAAAGUUGGGCCUUGCCAGACCAGCUUUAAUCUAAAACGAAUUAUCAAGGGGGUCCCCAUAACAACCCCGAUCGUGUUAGGAGCGCUCAUUUAUGGAACAUAACAUCGGUAGCCGAAACUAAGGGGGCAAAGGUGGAACAAAACACCGGGCUAGAAAGGCCGAGCCUUCCACCUUUUACCAAGUAUAUAGGUGCAUUAGAUUAAACAACAUUUAAAUAUGGUGAUAUAACAAGGAACCCAUGCUUUCACAUGGAAGCAAUGCACCUGCAACUAGCAACACUAUCAACAGGAUUAAGCAAGCGAUAACAUAGCCAAUCAGUGGUUUGCUAGGUCGAAGAGGUUGAAGGUAAUCAUGGCAUUGUUGAGAGGCUGAUAUUUAACAGGUGGUAGGCAACGAGACAUAAACGACAGAAGCGAUAAAACUAGCAUGGCAAUGAUAGUAGUGGUAUCUGGGGAAAUGAUCAUCUUGCCUGAGAUCCCGCUUGGAAGAAGAAUGACUCCGUGAAGAAGACUAACCGAUGUAGUCGAACGGGUCCUCACAAUCCGACACGCUUGCGGAACUCUAUCGAGACGGGGAAAACCGGAGCACAAAUCAACACACGGAAUUCACCACAAGAUGCACAACACAUAUGAUGCAUGAGCAGCUAAUUACGUGCAAGUCACGUCAUGACAAAGCACACAAUCAAACACUACACAUUAAGUGAAGUUCAAUAUGCAACGAGUUGCAUAUUGACCAAACUCCACGAUUAAUUAAUUAGUUCACUCCCGAUUACUUACACGGCAAUAUUAAAUUGUAGUUAACAUGACAAGGGGUGAAGCGGGUGAUUCUACCUGUCAUCCUAGACGGUUAACACGUGGAACAAAGAACGGAGCUACAUUCAAGAGACAUGCACAACAGGAAGCACUAAAAUGAAUGAUGCAUGGAUGCACAAUCCCUAACUAUGCUCUUACUCCAACCUACAAAGGUAAUCAAGUGCCACCUCAACACAAAGUGACACUUCUGCGGAACUGUCCGGAACUGGAAACUAGUGUCUCCAUUGGAAUCCUUGGGUUCUCCUACCCCAAAACCAUAUAUAACGCUGCUAUAUAUGCGUGCGGAAAAACACCAGAAACAACAAAGGAAAAACUACCAAGAUCAAACUCCGCUAAUAACAAGAACAAGGGUUGUUCUUGAUAUGCCAGACUUGGCAUGUUCCUCUUCUGGAAUAUUGUAGAUUUGGAAAUACUUCACAAAACUAAACUAAACAAGAAAAACAUAUAAACAUCAGGGGGUCCACCUGGUCAUACUCACCAGGGCCCCUAAUGGGUGUAUGCAAGUGGGCCGUACCCCACAAUACACACACACCCCCAGCUACUGCACCACACACCUAAAAGAAGAAGAAAAAAUAAAAUGGGGUGCAGGGGGAUUCGAACCAUGCACCUAGGGUACCCUAUGCACAACUCCACACCACUAUGCUACUGCAGCUCAGCUGACCAUAGAUGGGGACCUAUAGAUGGGGACUUAGCAUAGCUAAACUAACUCUACUGCUAGUGCAACAGGAAAAAAACGAAAUAAACAAAAGGAGGCGCCGGCGGGAUUUGAUCCCUGGACCUCAGGGUUGCUACCGAGUGCGCUAACCAGCUGGGCUAGGUGGAUGUCUUGUGGAAAAAGAGACUCCUAUGCUACAUGAACAAGCACCACGCGGAACCUGAACCAAAAAUCAAACAAACAGCAAAAUAAGCAGGGUUGUCUGGGAUUCGAACCCCAGACCUCUGGGAUGAAACAGAGUGGUGCUAGCCAGCUCGGCUGCUGGCGUGAUCUGAUAUUAGUGAUAUGGAAAUCCUAGUAAGGCCGACAAUUAGAAUGCAUCUGGGCAAAACGAAGCGCAGUUCAGAACAGGGCGUUCUUACAGCAGACACACGAAACCGACGGGGAUAAAGGCUACCAUCAGUGCUUGGGCUUCGGCGCUGAAGGUACCAGCAAGGCGGAGGUUUGGGGAUGGGCGUUGGGUCACGGAUCCGUCCGCAGGGACCCGAUUCCACGCGACGACGAGCUAGACUCGGGCCCAGGGGUUCCCAUGGCUGCUGCUCCUGGUUCAGAUAAGUUCAGAGAAAAAAAUAUAAGAGAGAGAGAGCGGGAAUCAACAUGAGGGGGAAGGAGAGCAGGAAGGAGAGGGGAACGGGAGAGGUUCUGGCCUGGAGCGGCUUCUGGCGACGCGGGGUCACCGAUUCCGACCUCCGGCGAGGGCACGAGGCGGCGGGGCUGCGGGGCUCAUGCAUGAAUGUUCAGAACGACGCACAUGAGGGAACUCGAGGUGGGCUCGCUUGCUGCAGAAGGAGACGUCCCUGCGCGCUACACCGGUGCAGAGCAGCGGGCUCGCGCGGGCGGACGCGACCAGACGCGCAGGGGAAGGGGGAGCUCUUAGCGCAGCUGGUUCCCUGGAGAGAGAGGGAUUAGGGAGAGAAGAAAGGGAUAAAACAGAGGAAGGAGAAGACCGGGCAUGGCAUGGACCUGCGGCGCGGCUUCCAUGGGCGUCGGAUGCUGCUGCUCCUGCUCCAUGCUUGAGACGGCACUGCAGCUGGAGGAGCUCCUCGUACGCGGGGUUGGGGGUCGAUUUCGAACCGACCGUGGCGAGCACGAAGGAGGCCGGGGGCGCUCAGACAGAGCUCGCCGGAUGUGGCGAAAGCGGGGGCUCCAGCAUCGUGGAUCGAGCGAGGCUCGGGCGCAUGGGUGCUGCCGGGCACGGGGCAUGGCUCCGAUGGCUGGCUGCAUCUGGGAAUCCCGAGGUAGAAGACAACAGGUGGCGGCGCUGAUGCGAGAUGGAGGGGAUUGGCUCGGUGGGGAAAAUGAGAGAGGAGGAGACCAAGUGGUGUGCGGCGGCGGCGGAUGGGACACGGGAAUUU
rnacentral:lncRNA from 1 species